CAGUGUUUAAUGCUCAUCCCCUCACUGUGUGUCUGUAUGUUCUUGUCUCUUGACAGGUCUGUGAGGAUGAGAAGGUCUCCACAGUCUGGAGUCUGGUCUCUGACAGGCUCAACAUACCUGUCAAUCAACAGGGACUCCUCUACAAAGGCAAGGCGCUGGCAGGUCUGUGAGGAUGAGAAGGUCUCCACAGUCUGGAGUCUGGUCUCUGACAGGCUCAAAAUACCUGUCAAUCAACAGGGACUCCUCUACAAAGGCAAGGCGCUGGCAGGUAGGCUGAACAGCACAGCACAGCACAGCUCACCCCUCCUCUCACCCCUCGCCUCACCCCUCCUCUCACUCCUCGCCUCACCCCGGGUCAGUGUGGCACAGCCUGCCUGCUCUUCUGAACAAACACUUCAGCCCUGCCGACGCAAUGAGAGUCUGGAGCAGCAACACGAGGUAACCUGAACACAAACACACACACUGCUAUACACACACACACACAGACACACACAAACACACACACAGUGAGAGGCUGGAGCAGCUACACAAGGUAAAUUGAACACAAUAAACACGGCUACACACACAAUCCUAGCUGCAGCAGAUGUACAAUGUUAUACAGACACACACAGACACAGCUGUACAGUGACACAGAGACGCACACACAAUCACAGCUGCAGCAUACACACUCUGAAAUGCAGGUGUAGAGCAGCGUGUAGUUGUGACUCUGUGUCUCUCUCCUCCCCCUCUCCUCUCCUCUCCUUACUUUGUUUAAAAGAAUAGAAGCACACCCAGUGAGCAAGGCAUUGAGCAGCCCCACAUCCCGCUUCACAAUACCGCUACAUAUUGACUGACUGUUCGCAUUGUGUGUGUUUGGUAAGACAAACCACAUUUUCUACUUCUACUUUCUACGAUUGGGCAAGUCAGCGGUUGUUUGAUAACAGAACAUAAAACAUUACAGAGUGGGUUGAACUGCAUUGCUGCAAAUCAAGGCCCUUUAAAAUGUGUACCUUCCCAGCUCAGGUAUUGCUGAGGUAAAGAGACACUUCCUACAGGAGGACAGGACGUUGUCAAGGAGGGGAUGUCGUCACGUGUCCUGAGGGCUUUCUUAAAAACAUUGUUUUAUUAUUUCUAAGCGUACGUUGUUAUUGCCUUUUAGCUCUUGAGCAUAAUAAUCUCAAUCCCGUUUGAAAUUACACUAAGUGCAUUUGCAUGGUGGCAGAUGAGGGAUGUCACUUCACUCGAGGCGUGCGUACUGAUGAAGAUGUAGUUUCAGUGUUUAAUGCUCAUCCCCUCACUGUGUGUCUGUGUGUGUCUGUGUGUGUGUGUGUGUGUGUGUGUGUUUGUGUGUUCUUGUCUCUCGCCUGUCCUGUGAGGAUGAAGAUGUAGUUUCAGUGUUUAAUGCUCAUCCCCUCACUGUGUGUCUGUGUGUUCUUGUCUCUUGACAGGUCUGUGAGGAUGAGAAGGUCUCCACAGUCUGGAGUCUGGUCUCUGACAGGCUCAAAAUACCUGUCAAUCAACAGGGACUCCUCUACAAAGGCAAGGCGCUGGCAGGUAGGCUGAACAGCACAGCACAGCACAGCACAGCACAGCACAGCACAGCUCACCCCUCCUCUCACCCCUCGCCUCAUCCCUCCUCUCACUCCUCGCCUCACCCCGGGUCAGUGUGGCACAGCCUGCCUGCUCUUCUGAACAAACACUUCAGCCCUGCCGACGCAGUGAGAGUCUGGAGCAGCAACACAAGGAUUACGAGCGGAGGCUGCGCUUGUUGAGCCUGGAUGAUAUGGAGCGGCUUGCGACCCGCAUGCUUCACCCUGAGGCUGUGGAGUGCAUGGAGCUGUCCUUCCUGGACUGAGGAAUACUGCUGCUGCCCUCUCUUCUCCCCCUCUCCUCUCCACCUCUCCCCUCUCUUCUCCCCUCUCCCCUCUCUCCUCUCCUCUGUACUCUCUCCUCCCCCUGUCCUCUUCUCUCCUUAGUUUGUUUAAAAGAAUAGAAGCACACCCAGUGAGCAAGGUAUUGAGCAGCCCCACAUCCCGCUUCACUAUACCGCUACAUAUUGACUGACUGUUCGCAUUGUGUGUGUUUGGUAAGACAAACCACAUUUUCUACUUCUACUUUCUACGAUUGGGCAAGUCAGCGGUUGUUUGAUAACAGAACAUAAAACAUCACAGAGCGGGUUGAACUGCAUUGCUGCAAAUCAAGGCCCUUUCAAAUGUGUACCUUCCCAGCUCAGGUAUUGCUGAGGUAAAGAGACACUUCCUACAGGAGGACAGGACGUUGUCAAGGAGGGGAUGUCGUCACGUGUCCUGAGGGCUUUCUUAAAAACAUUGUUUUAUUAUUUCUAAGCGUACGUUGUUAUUGCCUUUUAGCUCUUGAGCAUAAUAAUCUCAAUCCCGUUUGAAAUUACACUAAGUGCAUUUGCAUGGUGGCAGAUGAGGGAUGUCACUUCACUCGAGGCGUGCGUACUGAUGAAGAUGUAGUUUCAGUGUUUAAUGCUCAUCCCCUCACUGUGUGUCUGUGUGUGUCUGUGUGUGUGUGUGUGUGUGUGUGUGUUUGUGUGUUCUUGUCUCUCGCCUGUCCUGUGAGGAUGAAGAUGUAGUUUCAGUGUUUAAUGCUCAUCCCCUCACUGUGUGUCUGUGUGUUCUUGUCUCUUGACAGGUCUGUGAGGAUGAGAAGGUCUCCACAGUCUGGAGUCUGGUCUCUGACAGGCUCAAAAUACCUGUCAAUCAACAGGGACUCCUCUACAAAGGCAAGGCGCUGGCAGGUAGGCUGAACAGCACAGCACAGCACAGCACAGCACAGCACAGCACAGCUCACCCCUCCUCUCACCCCUCGCCUCAUCCCUCCUCUCACUCCUCGCCUCACCCCGGGUCAGUGUGGCACAGCCUGCCUGCUCUUCUGAACAAACACUUCAGCCCUGCCGACGCAGUGAGAGUCUGGAGCAGCAACACAAGGAUUACGAGCGGAGGCUGCGCUUGUUGAGCCUGGAUGAUAUGGAGCGGCUUGCGACCCGCAUGCUUCACCCUGAGGCUGUGGAGUGCAUGGAGCUGUCCUUCCUGGACUGAGGAAUACUGCUGCUGCCCUCUCUUCUCCCCCUCUCCUCUCCACCUCUCCCCUCUCUUCUCCCCUCUCCCCUCUCUCCUCUCCUCUGUACUCUCUCCUCCCCCUGUCCUCUUCUCUCCUUAGUUUGUUUAAAAGAAUAGAAGCACACCCAGUGAGCAAGGUAUUGAGCAGCCCCACAUCCCGCUUCACUAUACCGCUACAUAUUGACUGACUGUUCGCAUUGUGUGUGUUUGGUAAGACAAACCACAUUUUCUACUUCUACUUUCUACGAUUGGGCAAGUCAGCGGUUGUUUGAUAACAGAACAUAAAACAUCACAGAGCGGGUUGAACUGCAUUGCUGCAAAUCAAGGCCCUUUCAAAUGUGUACCUUCCCAGCUCAGGUAUUGCUGAGGUAAAGAGACACUUCCUACAGGAGGACAGGACGUUGUCAAGGAGGGGAUGUCGUCACGUGUCCUGAGGGCUUUCUUAAAAACAUUGUUUUAUUAUUUCUAAGCGUACGUUGUUACUGCCUUUUAGCUCUUGAGCAUAAUAAUCUCAAUCCCGUUUGAAAUGACACUAAGUGCAUUUGCAUGGUGCAGAUGAGGGAUGUCGCUUCACUCGAGGCUUGUGUACUGAUGAAGAUGUAGUUUCAGUGUUUAAUGGUUAUCCCCUCACUGUGUGUGUGUGUGUGUGUGUGUGUGUGUGUGUGUUCUUGUCUCUCGCCUGUCCAGUGAGGAUGAAGAUGUAGUUUCAGUGUUUAAUGCUCAUCCCCUCACUGUGUGUUUGUGUGUUCUUGUCUCUUGACAGGUCUGUGAGGAUGAGAAGGUCUCCACAGUCUGGAGUCUGGUCUCUGACAGGCUCAACAUACCUGUCAAUCAACAGGGACUCCUCUACAAAGGCAAGGCGCUGGCAGAUGAGCACAGACUGUCACACGACUCCAUCGCUCCCGAUUCCAAGCUGAACUCGUUGUGACGCCCCCAACAGAGAAAGUGUCACCCUCGCAAGAACAGCACUCCCUGUGUCACCCCUCCUCUCAGACCUCACCCCUCACCCUCGCCUCACCCCUCCUGUCACACCUCACCCCUCGCCACACCCCUCCUCUCACACCUCACCCCUCCUCUCACCCAUCGCCUCAACCCUCCUGUCACCCCUCGCCCCUCCUCUCACCCCUCGCCUGACCCCUCCUCUUACGCCUCGCCUCACCCCGGGUCAGUGUGGCACAGCCUGCCUGCUCUUCUGAACAAACACUUCAGCCCUGCCGACGCAGUGAGAGUCUGGAGCAGCAACACAAGGAUUACGAGCGGAGGCUGCGCUUGUUGAGCCUGGAUGAUAUGGAGCGGCUGGCGACUCGCAUGCUUCACCCUGAGGCUGUGGAGUGCAUGGAGCUGUCCUUCCUAGACUGAGGAAUACUGCUGCUGCCCUCUCCACCUCUCCCCUCUCUUCUCCCCUCUCCCCUCUCUCCUCUCCUCUUUACUCUCUCCUCCCCCUCUCCUCUCCUCUCCUUACUUUGUUUAAAAGAAUAGAAGCACACCCAGUGAGCAAGGCAUUGAGCAGCCCCACAUCCCGCUUCACAAUACCGCUACAUAUUGACUGACUGUUUGCAUUGUGUGUGUUUGGUAAGACAAACCACAUUUUCUACUUUCUGCUAUUUUAAAAGGAGCCCAGUUUGGUGCAGGAGGCUUGUGGG